CGGCAGAUAUGACACACAUAUGUUUAGAAAUGAACAUUUGGUUACGAAAACCCUCACAAAGUAUAACGUCAGAGUAUCCCCCCUUUUUUCUCUUCGUAUGCAUGGUGAUUCUUUAAAGAUUCAUGAACAACUCAAGUAUGAAAAUGUGAAAAAAAACCCAUUAUUUUACAUCUUUAAUGUGUUUAUCUCUAGUCAGAAACUAUCAAACUGUCGAUUAUUUCUUUCCCGGCAUUUUUACACCGAAAAGGGGAAUAAUCGAUCUGAAUCAAUUCAGUGUUUAAAUGUCGCCGAGUAAGGACUUGAAUAUCAUUCAUCUAUAAAGAUCGCAUUGGCACACCC
rnacentral:lncRNA from 1 species